rnacentral:rRNA from 1 species
CCUACGGGUGGCAGCAGUGAGGAAUAUUGGUCAAUGGGCGGGAGCCUGAACCAGCCAAGUCGCGUGAAGGAAGAAGGUACUUAGUAUUGUAAACUUCUUUUGUCGGGGAACAAAGGCGGAGACGCGUCUCCGGAUGAGUGUACCCGAAGAAAAAGCAUCGGCUACCUCCGUGCCAGCAGCCGCGGUAAUACGGAGGAUGCGAGCGUUAUCCGGAUUUAUUGGGUUAAAAGGGUGCGCAGGCGGGAGAGCUAGUGAGGGGAAAAAUGACGGGGUUCAACACCGCCCGGCCGUGGAAACUGGGUUUCUAGAGUUGGGGAGAAGUAAGCGGAAUUCGUGGUGUAGCGGUGAAAUGCAUAGAUAUCACGAAGAAAUCCGAUUGCGAAGGCAGCAUACCGGCUCCAUACUGACGCUGAGGCACGAAAGCGUGGGGAUCGAACAGGAUUAGAUACCCCGUAGUC